GACGGGGGGUGCUAGCGUUGUUCGGAAUUACUGGGCGUAAAGGGCGCGUAGGCGGCCGCUUGCGUCGGAUGUGAAAGCCCGGGGCUCAACCCCGGAACGGCAUCCGAUACGGGGCGGCUGGAGACCGGGAGAGGAGGGUGGAAUAGCCAGUGUAGAGGUGAAAUUCGUAGAUAUUGGCUGGAACACCGGUGGCGAAAGCGGCUCUCUGGCCCGGUUCUGACGCUGAGGCGCGAAAGCGUGGGGAGCAAACAGG
rnacentral:rRNA from 1 species